ensembl:lncRNA
CCUCACCUGAGCGAGCCGCCCAAGCGACAGGCAUCUCGUCGGGUCGUUGAACAAAGCUGUUCCCGGCCACAGGGCGCCGGGCACCGCAGCUCAGAAAGGCAGCAAUGAGGCUGACCCACAGGUUCGAGACUCCUCCGGGCUGGCCUUGGAGGCCCACGAUAGUCAUCCCACAUAUUCCUCUUCUACGCUGGACUCUUAGGAAAGUCAAAUGAAUCGUGUAUUUGAAAGAGACAGACUUUCCUGUAUAUGGGAAAGGGUCAGUGGUUUUCCCAACGCUGUCAGGACUCUGGUGUGAGACACAGUCUGAAAUAACUUAUUCCAUCCGAAUGAAGGAAGCGACUUCUAAUUUUUUCCAUGACACAUUUAUUCCCAUUUUGUCUUCGUCUGAGGGCUAAGGUUUUUCUCUGUGGAAAAACUCCAUUUUGAGAUGAAGUCUGAUGAAAGAGAAAACCGAUGCAGCAGUGUCAGUUAAUUCAGAGCCCAGGGCUGCUUUCAAAAGUGGGGCUUAGUAUGACCCCAGAGACAGCCGACUUCAACUCAAAUGACCUUGGAAUCUGACAGAGGGCAUUUCAGUUUCAGAAAUCUUUUGCAACAUACAAGUAACUAUUUCAUGAAAAAGUUUUUGGAAAGCUCAACAACUGCAUCACGCAUCGUUCUCUGCUGAGCAUUUUCAUCUGCAACCUGAUGAUGACUGGACUAGGAAUCGUCUCGUAAAGGGCACCUUGGUGGUGCGUGGAGCUGCCGACGGGCACUUUGCAGCUGAGCACGCACGUUCCUGGUCAGAAACCCACCGCUCUCCUCCUGACACUGGCUUUUGCCAACCAAGGGAGGAAGCUGUCCAUCAAGGGAGGCAGAGAGAAGCGCCUGCCCACUUGAGAUGUGCACGGCAGCCCCACACCCCUGGCUGGAGGUGCUUCCCUUACAGGAGCUCGCUCCUUGCCUUGGCAGCUGCUCCCAGAGGGAGAACAGGCUGCUCCCUUGGAGGUGCCAGGGACAGUCACCCCUGGCCUGUGCAUCAGUACUAGAAAGAUGAGCGGGAGACCUGUGUCCGUAGGCCUCUUGUAUCUCCUCUCUGUCCCCCGGCCCGCAGCUACCUGGGUGUUCUCUCCAAGUUGUCACACUGCCUCCCGCCAAUUAGGUGCAUGUCCUCUGGGAGGGACUAAGGCUUAAAACUACUGCCUGCUGAACGCUUUGCUUUUCAGCCAUCUGGAGAAUGCCUGCCCAUCACUAUGAAACACCUUCACUGGAGAAAGAUGAGAAGUCUUUUUUUGAAGAAAGGGGCACCAAGGGAGAGAAAAGUCAAAAGGCUAUAACAUGCCUUAUUUAGAAAUAUUUUGGGACCAGAAUCCAUCGUAUUGCUAUUCCUUUCACACAGACAGGUCUCUGAGAUCCCGUGAUGGACAGGGCUCCAGUAAGCAGCCAGUGUGCCAAGGGACUCCCCUUACCCCCGCCCCACCUCCCCCUGCCGAAUGAAGACAUCAAAGAACAUGGUACCACAGGGAUGGCAUAAGAGGAAUGGUGGGCAUAAUUUGGCACUUUGUUCAGUUCCAAAAUACAACAAAAUAGCUCUACAUUUUUUUUUUUUUAAAUUUUAGCUUUUACAAUCAGUGCUAUAUAUUGCAAUUCAUAGCUUUCUGGGUGGCUUGCAAGAAGUUUAAUCCCUUUUCUUCAAGGCCAGCCAGGCAGUCCCCUAGUUAUCACAUGCCUUGGUACAGGGAAUGGGGUCUGUGUGUGCAGAAAGGUACUGAGGUCUCUGCACACCUAGAAGCUAGAGAAGAGGGUACACAGAGCCCAGGGCUGGCCGGCAGAAAGGAGCCCCCCACGUGCGUGGGAGAUGCAGAAGAAUAUGUGUAAAGAAGGCUUUAGAAAGUAGGAGAAAUCCCAGGGAGGUUGCAUUCAGCUCUACACUUCUGCUUAUACCCGUGCAUUGGCUAAAAACCAGGUAAGAACUCAGCUUGGCUCAUCCAGGUCAGAGCUCAGCACCAACCACGGGCUGUACCUCUGGGGGUAAGAGCCACAGGUAGGGCCCCGCUCCAGGACUGCUCCACAGCAAAGAUCUCCCCCUCCUCGUGUCCCAAAGCUCUGAGUGGGGGUGGAGUUAGCCCCUCAUCACUUCAAUCUGUUUUGACUAGUGAUUUAACCCAAGGGUCAAGGGCCAGGGAGAUCUGCUGAAGAGAAAACCUCCAGGAUGCUCCAGGACUGCACCCCAACCAUCAUUUAAGUACACAGUGAACCCGCUCAAGUGGUCGAGCAGCCCUGGGCUCACCAGGGCCCCUGGGCAAUCCAUCCAGAGCUCAGGGCCGGGCCUCCUGGACCACGCCAGAGCAUCAUCUCAUGGCCCAGGGUGCCUGCAGGUGAAGUGACAGGACACCAGGGAGGAGCAAUGAUAUGCUGGGGGGAGGAUGCAAGUACAUUUCUGUACUUAAAAAAAAAAUGCCCUUUCCUGGCUGACCUUCCAGGUACUAAAACAUAUAUUAUAGCUGGUGCUGUGGCUCGUAUUGAUUGGUAAUCAUAAGGCGAAAUUAAAUGACGCUCUUUU